ensembl:rRNA 5S_rRNA 5S ribosomal RNA
GCCAGCAGCCAUAUCACCCUGCAACUCACAACUGGCAACCCACUGAAGCUAAGCGGGUGUGAGCCUAGUCAGUACCUGGAUGGGAGACCUCCUGGGAAAAACUAAGGUUGCUGCUGGAA